CCGAAGGGUAGCUAGGGUUCCGGUCGUGCCAUGCGCGCGAUGGCUGGUCCGAGAGCGACCGGCCACCGGCACCUGAUCCGCCGGCGGCUCCACGGCGGGACAAAAGCCCGGGAGGU
rnacentral:sRNA from 20 species